AGUGAACGCUGGCGGUAGGCCUAACACAUGCAAGUCGAACGGCAGCACAGUAAGAGCUUGCUCUUACGGGUGGCGAGUGGCGGACGGGUGAGGAAUACAUCGGAAUCUACUUUUUCGUGGGGGAUAACGUAGGGAAACUUACUCUAAUACCGCAUACGACCUACGGGUGAAAGGAGGGGAUCUUCGCACCUUGCGCGAUUGAAUGAGCCGAUGUCGGAUUAGCUAGUUGGCGGGGUAAAGGCCCACCAAGGCGACGAUCCGUAGCUGGUCUGAGAGGAUGAUCAGCCACACUGGAACUGAGACACGGUCCAGACUCCUACGGGAGGCAGCAGUGGGGAAUAUUGGACAAUGGGCGCAAGCCUGAUCCAGCCAUACCGCGUGGGUGAAGAAGGCCUUCGGGUUGUAAAGCCCUUUUGUUGGGAAAGAAAAGCAGCAGGUUAAUACCCCGCUGUUCUGACGGUACCCAAAGAAUAAGCACCGGCUAACUUCGUG
rnacentral:rRNA from 1 species